rnacentral:rRNA from 1 species
CACGUAGGGCGCGAGCGUUGUCCGGAAUUAUUGGGCGUAAAGAGCUCGUAGGCGGCCUGUUGCGUCCGCUGUGAAAGUCCGGGGCUCAACCCCGGGAGGCGGGCGGAUACUGUCGGGCUAGAGUCCGGAAGAGGCGAGUGGAAUUCCUGGUGGUAGCGGUGAAAUGCGCAGAUAUCAGGAAGAACACCUAUGGCGAAGGCAGCUCUCUGGGGACGGUACUGACGCUGAGACGCGAAAGCGUGGGGAGCGAACAGG